AGGUGUGAUCAUUUCAGCACUAAUGCAUCGGAUUCCAUUGAAACUCCGCAGUUAAGCGUGCUUGGGCAAGAAUAGUUCUAAGAUGAGUAGACAGUAUUCAGUUUCCUUUUC
rnacentral:rRNA from 1 species